GCGGCCGUAGCUCAGCAUGGUUAGAGCACCUGGUUGUGGUCCAGGAUGUCGCCGGUUCGAAUCCGGUCGGUCGCCCCA
rnacentral:tRNA from 1 species